rnacentral:rRNA from 1 species
UACAGAGGAUGCAAGCGUUAUCCGGAAUGAUUGGGCGUAAAGAGCUUGUAGGUGGCUCGUUGCGUCGGGAGUGAAAACCUGCGGCUUAACCGCAGGCCUGCUUCCGAUACGGGCGAGCUAGAGUUCGGCAGGGGAGACUGGAAUUCCUGGUGUAGCGGUGGAAUGCGCAGAUAUCAGGAGGAACACCGGUGGCGAAGGCGGGUCUCUGGGCCGAUACUGACACUGAGACGCGAAAGCGUGGGGAGCAAACAGG